UUGAAUGCCUUUAUAACACAGCAGUGUGUGAUCCGAGGAAGAGAGCAAGGAGGAAGGCGCUGCCUUUUUUACUUUAACUUUUAGAAUAAUUUUAGAUUUACAGACGAGUUGCAAAGAUAGUAUAGAGUUCCCACAUUCCCAAGUAUAUUUCACUCAGCUUUCUCUAAAGUUAAUAUCUUACAUAACCAUGGUACAUUUGUCAAAACUAAGAAGUUAACAUUGGUGCAUGACUAUUAACAUACUUUUUGCCAGUUUUUCAUCAAUGCCCUUUUUCUGUUCCAGGAUCCGUUCCAGGACAUUGUGUUGUAUUUAGUGCUCGUGUUCCCUAGUCUCCUUCCAUCUGGGACAGUCUGUUUUAAUUUUUUAUGACCUUGACAACUUUGAAGAUCAGAGUGAUCCUGCUCCGGCAGCACCUGCCCUCGCUUCACCCUCGCCGGCACCCGGAGUGGGAGGCACUUCCUUCACUCUUCUAGCAAAUAUUUAUUAAGCGCCUACUUUGGGUCAGAAGCUGUUCAAGGUGCUAAGGGUACAGCUGUGAACAGGCAACAAGCAUGUAGAGGAGAGGGCGAACACAGUACCCCACUACCACAAAUUAUGCAGUCAAGUUUCCCACAUUGGGGAAAUUGCAGGGGUCAACACAUCUUGAGUGCAAAGGAUGAGCCUCACCCUGGAAAACUAGCUUCAUGAUCAUGGACUUGAUACAGCCAAGGGAGGCCCUCAGCAAAGCCUGCAUCGUGCUGGACGGACUUUGAAUCUUCGGAAUGGUGAGCUAAAGUAAGUCUCCUCUUCACCUGGGAUAUUUUGUCACAGACAAUGAAAACGACAAGAGUGAGAGCACAAGUGGCCUGUGAGGAGGGUGGCCCUGAGGAGCAUCCUGUCUUCAGACCCCCUUGGCAGCAGCUCUAGUCCCUGCCUGGACCCUUUACCAUGGGUCUGGGCAAACCAGAGCGUCCUGAAUAAAAAGGGGG